rnacentral:rRNA from 1 species
CAAUAGCGUAUAUUAAAGUUGUUGCAGUUAAAAAGCUCGUAGUCUGACUUUUAGCUAGCGGUUAUUGAUGCCCCAUUGCCCCGUCAAACGGGUGAUGCGUUUGGUGUCUCCGCUCGGCUAUAUUAACUUUUCGGAGGAACGUUGCGUGCUUUUAAUUAAGUGCGUGCGGGAUUCUGAUGGUUUACUUUGAGAAAAAUAGAGUGUUCAAAGCAGGCGAUUCGCCAAUUGAAUACAUUAGCAUGGGAUAAUGGAAUAGGACAUUGGUUCUAUUUUGUUGGUUUUAAGGACCGAUGUAAUGAUUAAUAGGGACAGUUGGGGACAUUUAUAUUCCAUGGCUAGAGGUGAAAUUCUUGGAUUCAUGGAAGAUAAACUACUGCGAAAGCAUUUGUCAAAGAUGUUUUCAUUGAUCAAGAACGAAAGUUAGGGGAGCAAAGAUGAUUAGAUACCAU